rnacentral:rRNA from 1 species
UAACGCGUGAGCAAUCUGCCUUUGGGUGGGGGAUAACAGCCGGAAACGACUGCUAAUACCGCAUGAUGCAGCGGGGUCGCAUGAUUUUGCUGCCAAAGAUUUAUCGUCCAAAGAUGAGCUCGCGUCUGAUUAGCCAGUUGGCGGGGUAACGGCCCACCAAAGCGACGAUCAGUAGCCGGACUGAGAGGUUGAACGGCCACAUUGGGACUGAGACACGGACCAGACUCCUACGGGAGGCAGCAG